CCCAUUAGCUAGUUAGUAUAUAAGAUAGAUGUUGCACUUAUUUGUAACUUGAUACAUUCAUUUGUAUCAAUUCUAUUAGUUUCAUUGCAUCUCUCUCAAACUUUUCUCUCCUUUUACUCUGAUGAUAUCAUGAAUCUUAACAUGGUAUCAGAGCCGUGGAUUCCUCCUUAGGCACACAAUUCCGCUUCAAUUUUCACGAGAAAAUUCAACUCUCGAAUUUUAUUUUUCCUUCCAUUCUCAUUCUUUUCAUUUUUCCAGUUUCGAUCUUCUUCUCUUUCUCCUAGUCGCCGCCAUUGAUAUUGGUGACGCUCUUCAUCUCACCGGAGUUAGUUAGAAUUCCGAUCGCUUCCAUUGUUCUUCUUCGAUUUCUCUGAUUCUUUCUCUACCUAGGAAUUUUCGCGGUUCUCUGUUACUCUCAAAAUUCAGAAGCUUCUCCGAUUCAUGAUCCAAUUUCUUGUUGGAUUUCUUGAUCGAAUAGUCUAUGAAUCUUUCAAUCUCUUGUUAAGUUUGUUCUUGUUCUCGCAAUUGUGAAUUGUGAUUACGGUUAUGAUUUUUGUUCUCAUCUUUUUCCCCAAAUUCUAGGGUUUGAAAUUUCAUUUUUUUUCUUUUCUCGAUCGCAUUUUAGUUUACUGAAUCUUUCAUUUCCACUUCCGAUCUGAAUUUCGUAUUGAGUUUCACUUUGUGAUUUUUCAUUCAUCUACUGGUGAUUCUUGAUGGUGACAGAGUCACAAAUUUGUGAUGUUAUAUGUUACUUCUCAACGUUUCGGAGAAUCAUCGGUUUCGCUCUGUAAUUCGGUGCUUCGUGAUAUGAUCGAUUCUUUACAAGUGGUUGAAGUGUACAAUUUCUUGGCUCGUUGGUUCUUUCUCCAAUUCAGUGCUUCCAAGGUGUUUGUGAAAAGUUUUUCAUUGAAGACAGAGAAUGAUUGCUUUGGUAUUUGAUUCAAGUCAAAAUUCAUUGAUUACUUUGGAGUAUAGUUGAUUCACUUCACGACUUCCGCAACGAAGUGUUUCGUCAUAAAUUCUGCUUCUCUUACACUAAGGUUUGGCAUAUUCAGUUUAUUUUUAGACUCAAUUUUCUGCUACUGUGAAGCUUGUGCUUGUUUUUCUGCACCCGAUCAGAUUUGUUGUGGCUAUCUCCUUUGGUGCAUUGUUUAUUCAGUUUGGUUGUUUGGCAUGCCAUAUCGUUUCAAUAUGGUGCUAUGUUAUUAGCUUAUCACUGAGAACAUAUUUUUUGAAGAUAAAUUUGGAUCUCAUGCCUUGGUUAUAUUGUUACUGGUUGAACUUGAUUUGGAUGUUCAUAAGAAGCCUGGUAAAGUUCACUGUUGAUGAAAAGUGUUAAUUGGUAAUACUUGUAGUAAAUUGGUUAUGCUUGGUUUCAUUGAAGACUGAUAAACUGAUGAGUUGUUGUUGCAUUGUGCUGUCACUAGUUCUUUUACUUCUUUGGAUUCAUUCCUUGUGUGAAGAUUGAAGAAACACAUUUGGUUCAUGCUUUAUUUGCUGCCAUUGUAGAAGGUAUUAGUCAACUCAAAGAAGCUCAUUUUGGGAGUCUUAUCCCACUGAUACUCUAUGCUUUCAGCAGAAUAUAGUUUGGCUGGAGUUUAUUGGAUGUUUGUGUCUUCCCCCAUGAAGACACGAUGGCUUCACAUUUGUUCUGAGAGCCUCUGUUUGAGGAUUUACUUGUUGCUGGUUUAUCUCUUUAUUGUGAAGAUUGAAGACUGGUUUGAGUUCUUUAAUCUACUCUCUGUUGCCCUGUUUUAGACAGGUGCUUAGCCAUAUUGGCUUUGUUGCUUUUAUGUUAUCUCUUGAGCAGCUUGAAUUUGCUUGCUUUAUCAAGUGGUUAGUUGGUUUUCUUUUUGAUGUGCUAUCUCAUCUUGAGCACAACAUUGGUAUUGAUGCUUUUCUCUCUAGCCAUCAACCACACUACUUGAUCUUUCUCCUUGAUUUGUUGGUCCUUAGAUGAGUUAAUUACCUUUAGCACAACUUGAGUAUUGAUGCUUCACUUUAUAGACAUCGGACCCUUUUGAUAUUCUCUACUUGAUCUUUCUCCUUGAUUUGAUUGGUCCUUAGAUGAGCUAAUUACCUUUAGCACAACAUGAGUAUUGAUGCUUCACUUUAUAGACAUCGGACCUCUUCUGACAUUCUCUUUUUCGCUUCUAUCUUGAGUGAUUGAGUGCUCUUGAUGGUUAAGCUUUGUGCCUUAAUUGGCUUUGUUGAUUUGCUUCUGCCCUUAGUUGGCUUUGAUGGGUUGUGUUUCUUCCUUAUGGUGGUUAAGCACUACUAGUUGUAUUUGAGUUGUUUUUCUAGCCGAUGUAUUCCGGCAAAUUUCAUUGUAUUUUCUUUAUAUUGAUGUACUUUUGCAUUAGUGAUCCCAAGCUGGAAGUGUUGUGACCACUUUCCAGCUUGCGGGAGGCUGUUGAACUAUAUAGAGUUAGGCCCAUUAGCUAGUUAGUAUAGGCCCAUUAGCUAGUUAGUAUAUAAGAUAGAUGUUGCACUUAUUUGUAACUUGAUACAUUCAUUUGUAUCAAUUCUAUUAGUUUCAUUGCAUCUCUCUCAAACUUUUCUCUCCUUUUACUCUGAUAUCAUGAAUCUUAACAAUAAUUAUUGUUAAAGUGUGGUUGUUCAAAUUUUAUACUUCUAGCAUUUAGCAACUAGCUCAAAUAGUAAUAUUUAAUCAAAUAAAAUCUUGAUUUAGAUUCGUCAAGACUUAAG
rnacentral:lncRNA from 1 species